rnacentral:lncRNA from 1 species
UGAACAUGUGAGUUCUUCACGGGCCAGCACUCCGCCUCAUACAACAUCGCAGGUCUAACCACAGCUCUAUAAAAUUUCUCCUUGAGUUUAUGUGGGACUUUCUUGUCACACAGGACUCCUGUUGCAAGCCUCCACUUUGACCACCCCGCUCCUAUACGAUGAGUGACGUCCCCGUCAAUCUCUCCGUCCCCCUGAAUCACCGACCCAAGAUAUCUGACNN